rnacentral:rRNA from 1 species
UUGAACGCUGGCGGCAGGCCUAACACAUGCAAGUCGAACGGUAACAGGAAGAAGCUUGCUUCUUUGCUGACGCGUGGCGGACGGGUGAGUAAUGUCUGGGAAACUGCCUGAUGGAGGGGGAUAACUACUGGAAACGGUAGCUAAUACCGCAUAACGUCGCAAGACCAAAGAGGGGGACCUUCGGGCCUCUUGCCAUCGUAUGUGCCCAGAUGGGAUUAGCUAGUAGGUGGGGUAACGGCUCACCUAGGCGACGAUCCCUAGCUGGUCUGAGAGGAUGACCAGCCACACUGGAACUGAGACACGGUCCAGACUCCUACGGGAGGCAGCAGUGGGGAAUAUUGCACAAUGGGCGCAAGCCUGAUGCAGCCAUGCCGCGUGUAUGAAGAAGGCCUUCGGGUUGUAAAGUACUUUCAGCGGGGAGGAAGGGAGUAAAGUUAAUACCUUUGCUCAUUGACGUUACCCGCAGAAGAAGCACCGGCUAACUCCGUG